rnacentral:rRNA from 1 species
GACGAACGCUGGCGGCGUGCUUAACACAUGCAAGUCGAACGGAAAGGCUCCAGCUUGCUGGAGUACUCGAGUGGCGAACGGGUGAGUAACACGUGGGUAAUCUGCCCUGCACUCUGGGAUAAGCCUGGGAAACUGGGUCUAAUACUGGAUAUGACCUUUCUCCUUAUGGGGUUUGGUGGAAAGUUUUUCGGUGUAGGAUGAGCCCGCGGCCUAUCAGCUUGUUGGUGGGGUGAUGGCCUACCAAGGCGACGACGGGUAGCCGGCCUGGGAGGGUGAUUGGCCACAUUGGGACUGAGAUACGGCCCAGACUCCUACGGGAGGCAGCAGUGGGGAAUAUUGCACAAUGGGCGGAAGCCUGAUGCAGCGACGCCGCGUGAGGGAUGACGGCCUUCGGGUUGUAAACCUCUUUCAGCAGGGACGAAGCGUAAGUGACGGUACCUGCAGAAGAAGCACCGGCUAACUAUGUG